rnacentral:rRNA from 1 species
CCUACGGGGGGCUGCAGUGGGGAAUAUUGGACAAUGGGGGCAACCCUGAUCCAGCCAUGCCGCGUGUGUGAAGAAGGCCCUCGGGUUGUAAAGCACUUUCAGUGAGGAAGAACGCCUGGUGGUUAAUACCCAUCAGGAAAGACAUCACUCACAGAAGAAGCACCGGCUAACUCCGUGCCAGCAGCCGCGGUAAUACGGAGGGUGCGAGCGUUAAUCGGAAUUACUGGGCGUAAAGCGCGCGUAGGUGGCUUGAUAAGCCGGUUGUGAAAGCCCCGGGCUCAACCUGGGAACGGCAUCCGGAACUGUCAAGCUAGAGUGCAGGAGAGGAAGGUAGAAUUCCCGGUGUAGCGGUGAAAUGCGUAGAGAUCGGGAGGAAUACCAGUGGCGAGGCGGCCUUCUGGACUGACACUGACACUGAGGUGCGAAAGCGUGGGUAGCAAACAGGAUUAGAUACCCGGGUAGUC